rnacentral:rRNA from 1 species
GACGAACGCUGGCGGCGUGCUUAACACAUGCAAGUCGUACGGUAAGGCCCUUUCGGGGGUACACGAGUGGCGAACGGGUGAGUAACACGUGAGUAACCUGCCCACAACUUUGGGAUAACGCUAGGAAACUGGUGCUAAUACUGGAUAUGUGCUCCUGCUGCAUGGUGGGGGUUGGAAAGCUCCGGCGGUUGUGGAUGGACUCGCGGCCUAUCAGCUUGUUGGUGGGGUAGUGGCCUACCAAGGCGGCGACGGGUAGCCGGCCUGAGAGGGUGACCGGCCACAUUGGGACUGAGAUACGGCCCAGACUCCUACGGGAGGCAGCAGUGGGGAAUAUUGCACAAUGGGCGCAAGCCUGAUGCAGCAACGCCGCGUGCGGGAUGACGGCCUUCGGGUUGAAAACCGCUUUCAGCAGGGACGAAGCUUUUUGUGACGGUACCUGCAGAAGAAGCACCGGCUAACUACGUG